UACGGAGGGUGCAAGCGUUGUCCGGAAUCACUGGGCGUAAAGGGCGCGUAGGCGGCCUGGUAAGUAGGGGGUGAAAUCCUGCGGCUUAACCGCAGGGCUGCCUUCUAAACUGUCAGGCUUGAGCACGGUAGAGGCAGAUGGAAUUCCCGGUGUAGCGGUGGAAUGCGUAGAGAUCGUAAGGAAGGCCAGUGGCGAAGGCGAGUUCCUGGACAGUUACUGACGCUGAGGCACGAAGGCCAGGGGAGCAAACGGG
rnacentral:rRNA from 1 species